AGUCGAGGGGUAUUAUCUUCGGAUAAUGAGACCGGCGCACGGGUGCGUAACGCGUAUGCAAUCUACCUUUCACAGAGGGAUAGCCCAGAGAAAUUUGGAUUAAUACCUCAUAGUAUAGCAGUCUCGCAUGAGACCACUAUUAAAGAUUUAUCGGUGAAAGAUGAGCAUGCGUCCCAUUAGCUAGUUGGUAUGGUAACGGCAUACCAAGGCUACGAUGGGUAGGGGUCCUGAGAGGGAGAUCCCCCACACUGGUACUGAGACACGGACCAGACUCCUACGGGAGGCAGCAGUGAGGAAUAUUGGACAAUGGGCGCAAGCCUGAUCCAGCCAUGCCGCGUGCAGGAUGACGGUCCUAUGGAUUGUAAACUGCUUUUAUACAGGAAGAAACACCUCUACGUGUAGAGACUUGACGGUACUGUAAGAAUAAGGAUCGGCUAACUCCGUGCCAGCAGCCGCGGUAAUACGGAGGAUCCAAGCGUUAUCCGGAAUCAUUGGGUUUAAAGGGUCCGUAGGCGGUUUAGUAAGUCAGUGGUGAAAGCCCAUCGCUCAACGGUGGAACGGCCAUUGAUACUGCUAGACUUGAAUUAUUAGGAAGUAACUAGAAUAUGUAGUGUAGCGGUGAAAUGCUUAGAGAUUACAUGGAAUACCAAUUGCGAAAGGCAGGUUACUACUAAUAGUAUUGACGCUGAUGG
rnacentral:rRNA from 1 species